UACAGAGGAUGCAAACGUUGCUCGGAAUCAUUGGGCGUAAAGCGCGCGUAGGCGGUUACUUAAGUUGGAUGUGAAAGCCCUCGGCUUAACUGAGGAAGUGCAUCCAAAACUGAGUAGCUAGAGUACGAAAGAGGGUCGCGGAAUUCCCGGUGUAGAGGUGAAAUUCGUAGAUAUCGGGAGGAACACCGGUGGCGAAGGCGGCGACCUGGGUCGAGACUGACGCUGAGGCGCGAAAGCGUGGGGAGCAAACAGG
rnacentral:rRNA from 1 species